rnacentral:rRNA from 1 species
GACGAACGCUGGCGGCGUGCUUAACACAUGCAAGUCGAACGGAAAGGCCCUGCUUUUGUGGGGUGCUCGAGUGGCGAACGGGUGAGUAACACGUGAGUAACCUGCCCUUGACUUUGGGAUAACUUCAGGAAACUGGGGCUAAUACCGGAUAGGAGCUCCUGCUGCAUGGUGGGGGUUGGAAAGUUUCGGCGGUUGGGGAUGGACUCGCGGCUUAUCAGCUUGUUGGUGGGGUAGUGGCUUACCAAGGCUUUGACGGGUAGCCGGCCUGAGAGGGUGACCGGGCACAUGGGGACUGAGAUACGGCGCAGACUCCAACGGGAGGCAGCGGUGGGGAAUAUUGCACAAUGGGCGGAAGCCUGUUGCGGCAGCGCCGCGUGCGGGAUGACGGCCUUCGGGUUGUAAACCGCUUUCGCCUGUGACGAAGCGUGAGUGACGGUAAUGGGUAAAGAAGCACCGGCUAACUACGUG